UACGUAGGGGGCGAGCGUUGUCCGGAUUUAUUGGGCGUAAAGAGCGUGUAGGCGCCAGGUAGGUCUGCUGUGAAAACUCGAGGCUCAACCUCGAGACGUCGGCGGAAACCAUCUGGCUAGAGUCCGGAAGAGGAGAGUGGAAUUCCUGGUGUAGCGGUGAAAGUGCGCAGAUAUCAGGAAGAACACCCGUGGCGAAGGCGGCUCUCUGGGACGGUACUGACGCUGAGACGCGAAAGCGUGGGGAGCGAACAGG
rnacentral:rRNA from 1 species